rnacentral:rRNA from 1 species
AACGAACGCUGGCGGCAGGCUUAACACAUGCAAGUCGAGCGCCCCGCAAGGGGAGCGGCAGACGGGUGAGUAACGCGUGGGAAUCUACCCAUCUCUACGGAACAACUCCGGGAAACUGGAGCUAAUACCGUAUACGUCCUUCGGGAGAAAGAUUUAUCGGAGAUGGAUGAGCCCGCGUUGGGUUAGCUAGUUGGUGGGGUAAUGGCCUACCAAGGCGACGAUCCAUAGCUGGUCUGAGAGGAUGAUCAGCCACACUGGGACUGAGACACGGCCCAGACUCCUACGGGAGGCAGCAGUGGGGAAUAUUGGACAAUGGGCGAAAGCCUGAUCCAGCCAUGCCGCGUGAGUGAUGAAGGCCCUAGGGUUGUAAAGCUCUUUCAACGGUGAAGAUAAUGACGGUAACCGUAGAAGAAGCCCCGGCUAACCUCGUGCCAGCCGCCGCGGUAACAC